AAGCCCACUGAACUGCAUAGAAGAGCCAAGAGUUAUUCAACCUGCCCAAGUAAUUCUAUUACACCACCAACAUCAGAACCAUGCUUUAUGGAUGCUUCAACUACAAAUGGCAAGUUUCUUAUCUUUGGAGAGGACUGAAAUCAAAGGUCAGAACAUCAACAAAAAAGCAAAGUAUUCUUUUGGAACAAGCUCCAUAUCUAGAGAAACAGCUGAUUCUAGUGAGAAUUUCAGUAGUUCCUAGAGAGUGACUGUGGAAAAGGCAAGCACAGCAGGAGACACCUGAGAUUGCACUGGAUGCAGGGAGUGAGGUGCCAAUUGUGGCUGGAACUAUAGGAAGGAGCGGGCAGGCCAGAGCUGUUUCCCUGGGAUUCCAGAACAGAAGGCUGUGCCACACAGAGGUCCCCUGGGUCACAAUAGCAGCUGAAUCUCAGUGGCCAUGACAGCAAGGCAACAACGGGGCCAGCUCCCCAAGGUCCAUGUAAGUGCAGCUGCCCAGGACUCCCCUUGCUGUCCAGACAUAGGCUCUCCUACCUGCUUCCAACUUCAGUUCUGUGGCAUUUCCAGGAAAUAUGGGUAGUUAACACAUAACCAUGCUCAAUGAGAGCCAACCUGUGGCUGUGCGGCCCUUUCUCGGCACGUGGCCCAAGCCUGUGCUGGGUCUACGCAGUGAAGUACAAGGUAAAAAGAAGGCAAGCAGCUUCUUACACCUCCCUCCCAGUGCUGAACCUAGACAAAAUGUACCCCUCUUAGCACCUUUAGGAACUUUUCCUAGAGAAACAAGAAUGGCAGGCACCUAUCUGAGUGUGCUUGGUUCCUCUUGGAUAUAAAGUGCAAGCCUGUGUCACCUUCUGUGUCACUCAGGAUUAAACGUUUAUGACAUCCCACCACUGAUCUAAAAGGAUCCACUCACAGAGGAAAAUGAAGACUGAAAAGCCAACACCAACACCACCCUUCUGUGCUUCUCAGCACUUCUGGGCCUUCACGUCCUCCUUUUCCUCCCCCACCUUUAUAAGCACUCUCCUUUUCUUCAAUAUACACUCCAAACCCUCUCCGUCCCACCUUAAGUGAUCUGCCUUGAGCUGAGCCCGUUUUUUAAACAGAUUUAUCUUAAUUCCAAGGCCAGAAUUCAGGUAGGAAGCCACAAAAACCAAUCUGCAGCUAAUUGAAUCAGAAAUCUAUGAAAGGUACAGUGCAGACUGAAGAAGAUGACUGAGAGGCUUCAUAAUGAGGAACAGCACCCAAAAUCACGCUGCGGAACAGCUCUCAGAGAACAGCACUGCAGUGACAGAGACGGCACCACUGCAGCACCAGCGCCGGUGCAGGACUGGAUGCUCAUGCACAUCUCAGGCCUCCAGAUGCCCGCGACCUUCUCCCCUUCAGCCUCUUCCAUAACCACACUACUCCUUUCCUCCAUCGGCUUCUCCCCUGACUGCACAGAAGCCCAUUUCCCCACCAUGACGAAAAAAAACCUUUCCCAGAUCUAAGGCAAAGGGAAAAACAUACAAGACAGAAUGUAAAUUUGUGCUGCCAGGGGCUGGGAAAGGAGGGGAUGGGGAGUGACUGAUGAAUGGGUAUGGGCUCUCCUUCCGGAGUGAUCAAAAAGUGUUCUGGAACUAGAGUGGUAAAGAAGGUACGACCUCGUAAAUGUACUAAAUGUCAGUAAUGAUAAAUUGUAUGUUACAUGUUACCACCAAAACAACAAAAACAUCUCUGGCCUCCCUCAGAUUCCACGAUAUUACUCAGUACUUUUGUUCUCUCUCCUCUCCCCUCCCUCCCUAGCUUCCUUCUCUUCCAAGCCUGAAAUGCAAACAUUUUCCUCCUCCUCACUCUCAUCCUUCUGUCUCCACAUUCUCUCAUUUGGAGAUAUCAUCUAUGAUCAGUAGCAAUUCCACUAUCCACCCUAAGGAAGAGAGCUCUACAGCAAACCUUAGAAAACUUUUUCAGUGAAGGGCCAGAGAGUAAACAUUUCAGGCUUUCAAAGCCACAUGGUCUCUGUUGCAGCUAUUUAACUCUAUGUGGAAGCAGCCAGAAACAAUAAGUAAACAGGUGUUCUAUGCUCUAACAAACCUUUAUUUACAAAAACAGGGCUUGCCGUGGUGGCUUACACCUGUAAUCCCAGCACUUUGAGAGGCUGAGGUG
rnacentral:lncRNA from 1 species